CCCAACCCCCAGCCAGGGCUGCGGCGGCGCCGGGGAAGAGGGAGGAGGCUGCGCUCGGCGGCUGUUUUCCACUUCACUUUUGCAGACCCGGGUGGGGACGGAGAGCGCCCGCUCCGCUGCCCCGGGUGGCUGCAGCGCACGCGGCUCCGAGCUCAAUGUCCGCUCUGUCCCGGCGGCUGGGCUGGGGGCCGAGCCAGCCAAAGUGUCCGAAAGCAAGCAGAGCGCUCGGAACCUACCCCGCAACUGGGCGUCGGGCGUUCCAAGCGGGCCGUGGCAGCCCCGCCCUUGCGCUCCCUCAUCCCUGCGCGGAGCUGGGGAACUUGAACUGGCUCUCGUCACCCCCGCGGCCUCGCCGAUAGGACACCGCUUCGGUCCCGGGUGCGAGAUGGAAGGUACACCCGAGCAGUGGAUUUAGCAAACACACCUUUGUGAGUACGCACCCCACGGGAGCGCGCACACACGCCCCUCGAGCGCGCACGCACCACCCAGCCGGCUGCAGACCCUAAUCCUGGGACGCUUGGCGGCGGAGGGAAGCUGCGAGCGCGCUCAGUGCGCACUUAGACCUGCGCCCCGGCCCGGCACCGGGCUGCGGCGAGCCCAGGCGCUCCGGACGCACGCCGCGCUCUCAGCAGUCCUGGCGGCGCCGGAACGCCCCAUCCCCCCGGGAAUAGGCACUUUGGGGAGCAGGCAAUCGAGAGCGAGUGGAGAUUGCAGCUUGCUGCCGCGAGGGCGCCGGGGAAGGAGAAGAAGCGAGUCCCGGGCUGAACCAGGAACCCUGCGGACAUUGUUCUUCGCACUCCACAGAGCUCGGUCAAAUCUGGGUCCAAGCCACGGACUUUACUUAGCACGUUAGAGACAUCUUUACUCUUUGCCCCACCAUCCGUUUUUACUGUAAACCGUAUUACUGGUACUAUCGCUAUUGUAGAAGAAAGUUUCCAAGUUCCCUGAAGGACAGAUAUGGAAGAUUCUAACACCAGCUGCUAGUUCGCUUCUGCAUGGAAGUCCAGCCUGCUGCCGCUCCCUCUCCAUGUGAGGCAUCGGAGAUACUGAUGGACUGCUCCCCACUGCACUUCCCCACCCCACCUUGACUACUUCUUGCCUGUAAUCUGGCUUUAGGAAUAUUCAGAGGAGGCUUCUACAUUAAAAGUGUGUUUGAGCCCUA